GAUGAACGCUGGCGGCGUGCCUAAUACAUGCAAGUCGAGCGAACAGACGAGGAGCUUGCUCCUCUGACGUUAGCGGCGGACGGGUGAGUAACACGUGGAUAACCUACCUAUAAGACUGGGAUAACUUCGGGAAACCGGAGCUAAUACCGGAUAAUAUAUUGAACCGCAUGGUUCAAUAGUGAAAGACGGUUUUGCUGUCACUUAUAGAUGGAUCCGCGCCGCAUUAGCUAGUUGGUAAGGUAACGGCUUACCAAGGCGACGAUGCGUAGCCGACCUGAGAGGGUGAUCGGCCACACUGGAACUGAGACACGGUCCAGACUCCUACGGGAGGCAGCAGUAGGGAAUCUUCCGCAAUGGGCGAAAGCCGGACGGAGCAACGCCGCGUGAGUGAUGAAGGUCUUCGGAUCGUAAAACUCUGUUAUUAGGGAAGAACAAAUGUGUAAGUAACUAUGCACGUCUUGACGGUACCUAAUCAGAAAGCCACGGCUAACUACG
rnacentral:rRNA from 1 species